rnacentral:misc_RNA from 1 species
UUAUUUAUAUUAGUUUAUUAAUUAUGCAAACAGUAAGUGUUGAUCAGCUUUCAAAACUUUAUGAAAAUGGCUUAUAUGGAAGUUUGAAGCUAUUGGCAUCUUUUCAACUUUCAUUAUCUGCUUUUACAAUAUUAAAAGAUGAUGACUUUCAAACUGCAGCUUUGAAAUACCAAAUUCUUAUAUUGUAUGGGGAUUCUCUGUAUAAAGAAGGAGAUUACAAAAUGGCAGAACUGCAAUAUUGUGAUGCAUUGAAGCUAAGAAAAUCAUUAGACAGAAUAAAGUCUCAGCAGCGACAGUCAAAUUUGUAUUCAGAAGUUGAUGUAAAGUACAAAAUACAUGAAUGCUAUAUACAGUUAAAAGACUUUAAGCAAGCUAUGUCCACUUUGGAAAGUAUUGAUCAAAAACAAAGAACUUCACAAAUCAAUAUGAUGCUUGCAAAGCUUUACCAAAAACAUGGAAUGGAAAGAUCAGCAAUUACUUGCUACAAAGAUGUUUUAAGAUUAGAACCACUUGCUUUGGAAGCAGCAACUGCCUUGUUAGAUUUAGGGACACCAUUGCAAGAGGUUCAAAGUCUUGUGUGCAAAAUUGGAGCUCCAUCAUUCACACCUGAAUGGUUGAUCCAGUAUAUUAAAGGAUACGCCUCAGUCUCUCUAAACAAGAAUCUUAAAGCACUACAAGUUUUUAAACCUCUCGAAAAUCAGACUUUAAAAAAUAACCCUUUUCUGAUUGCACAAAUUGCUGAAUCUUAUUUCAAAGCUGGAGAUAUUGAAAAUGCAAAACUAACAUAUGAAAGAAUACGUUUGGUUAAUAAAUAUUAUAUCAAAGGAAUGGAUAUAUACGCACAGCUAUUGGCUGACGAUAACCAAAAAUCUGAAUUACAAAUGUUAUCCCAGGAUCUUUUAGAAAUCAAUGAUCAAAGUGUUGAAUGCUGGGUAACUUUGGCAUAUUACUCGUUUUGUUGUGCACAAAAAGCUAGAGCAGUUUAUUUUGCUCAAAAGGCUCAUGUGACUGAUGUUACUAAUAUUCAAGCAUUACUUUUAAAAGCUUCACUUCUGCAUUCAUUAAACAAGACUCAGGAAGCACUUAUUCACUUUAGGGAAGCUAUAAGAUUAGAUCCAAAAAGAUUUGAUUCAUAUUCUGGAUUAGUGGAUUGUCAUAUCUCAACCAAAAAACUAAAAGAUGGUUUGUUUAUUGCUCGAAAUGCACAUAAAACAAUCGGAACAAAUGCAAGAACACUCACUCUUUGUGCAAAAGUAUAUGCAGAAGAAACACAAACUUUAGAAAAGGCUAAAAGCAUGUUGAAAAAAGCUUUAUCUAGUGAUGCAUCAUAUGUCCCUGCAACAAUCAUUCUUGCUGAAGUACUCAUUAAAGAAAAGCUUUAUAACGAGGCUGAGCAGUUUUGGGGAUAGUGAUGGUAUCCAUAAUACAGAAGGAAUGUUUUCAUAAUCUGAUUAAGUCUUUUAUGGAUCAUUUUUAUCCAAUAAGCUUAAAUAAACAGUUAGCCAUUCGACAAACAUCAACAUUAUAUCGUCUUGCUGGCGAUUGCAUGAAACUCAUGGGAAAGAUUGAGGAUGGAAUAAUAAUGUAUGAUAAAGCUCUGAGGU